rnacentral:rRNA from 1 species
UACGUAGGGGGCAAGCGUUAUCCGGAUUUACUGGGUGUAAAGGGAGCGCAGACGGCAGUGCAAGUCUGGAGUGAAAGCCCGGGGCCCAACCCCGGGACUGCUCUGGAAACUGUACGGCUAGAGUACGGGAGGGGCAGGCGGAAUUCCUAGUGUAGCGGUGAAAUGCGUAGAUAUCAGGAGGAACACCAGUGGCGAAGGCGGCCUACUGGACGGUGACUGACGCUGAGGCUCGAAAGCGUGGGGAGCAGACAGG